rnacentral:rRNA from 1 species
UACGAAGGGGGCUAGCGUUGCUCGGAAUCACUGGGCGUAAAGGGUGCGUAGGCGGGUCUUUAAGUCAGGGGUGAAAUCCUGGAGCUCAACUCCAGAACUGCCUUUGAUACUGAAGAUCUUGAGUUCGGGAGAGGUGAGUGGAACUGCGAGUGUAGAGGUGAAAUUCGUAGAUAUUCGCAAGAACACCAGUGGCGAAGGCGGCUCACUGGCCCGAUACUGACACUGAGGCGCGAAAGCGUGGGGAGCGAACAGG